rfam:Gossypium arboreum cultivar AKA8401 contig_7066_3, whole genome shotgun sequence.
UAUUAAAAACUUCAUUCAUUUUUACUAUUAAAAACUGAUAUGAUUGAUGGAAUAACUAGAUAGUUACACAUGGCAUGUCAUCUGUACCUCAUGUUAACGUACAAGGACUAAUUUUUAAUCGUAGAAAUGGAUGAAAUUUUAAUA